CAGAGUAAAAGAAUACGCGUUAAGUGUGUGCUGUACGGGGAGUUGACAGCACGACGAAGGGCAGGCGUGCCUGCGAUUUUUCCUUCUUAUCC
rnacentral:ncRNA from 1 species